AUUCGAAGCUGCCGCAGGUUCGAGUUGAGCGCAGCGAAACAACGGAGCCGCUCGCGGCGACGGCCCGAAGGGCGAGCGAAGCGAGUCAUCCUGCACGACCCACCA
rnacentral:sRNA from 1 species